rnacentral:rRNA from 1 species
GUCGAACGCUGGCGGCGUGCUUAACACAUGCAAGUCGAACGAAGUGGCGAACGGGUGAGUAACGCGUAAUCAACCUGCCCUUCAGAGGGGGACAACAGUUGGAAACGACUGCUAAUACCGCAUACUGAAGGAGGGGAUUGCGUGUGAUCAGCUAGUUGGAGGGGUAACGGCCCACAAAGGCGAUGAUCUGUAGCCGGGUUGAGAGGGUGGACGGCCACAAUGGGACUGGGACACGGCCCAGACUCCUACGGGAGGCAGCAGUGGGGAAUCAUCCGAAAUGGACGAAAGUCUGACGGAGCAACGCCGCGUGAGUGAUGACGGCCUUCGGGUUGGAAAGCUCUGUUAAUCGGGACGCGUUACCGGAAUAGAAAGCCACGGCUAACUACGUGCCAGCAGCCGCGGUAAUAC